rnacentral:rRNA from 1 species
UUGACCUCGAUCAGUAGAAUCCCAGUU